rnacentral:rRNA from 1 species
AGCUCCAAUAGCGUAUAUUAAAGUUGUUGCAGUUAAAAAGCUCGUAGUUGGAUUUCGGGUUGGAGUUGAUGGUCUGCCGCAAGGUAUGUUACUAUUAACUCUGUCCUUCUUCGCAAGGACUUCACAUGUCCUUAAAUGGCUGUGUGUAGGAUUUGCGACGUUUACUUUGAAAAAAUUAGAGUGUUCAAAGCAAGCAUCUUAGCUUGAAUACAUGAGCAUGGAAUAAUGGAACAGGACUUUGGUCCCGUUUUGUUGGUUUCCAGGACUGAAGUAAUGAUUAAGAGGGACAAUUGGGGGCAUUCGUAUUUCGUUGUCAGAGGUGAAAUUCUUGGAUUUACGAAAGACGAACAACUGCGAAAGCAUUUGCCAAGAAUGUUUUCAUUAAUCAAGAACGAAAGUA